GGACGAACGCUGGCGGCGUGCUUAACACAUGCAAGUCGAACGGAGUAAAGAUUCGGUUUUUACUUUAGUGGCGGACGGGUGAGUAACGCGUGAGGAACCUGCCUUGGAGUGGGGAAUAACACAGUGAAAAUUGUGCUAAUACCGCAUAAUGCAGUUGAGUCGCAUGGCUCUGACUGCCAAAGAUUUAUCGCUCUAAGAUGGCCUCGCGUCUGAUUAGCUAGUUGUAGGGUGACGGCCUACCAAGGCGACGAUCAGUAGCCGGACUGAGAGGUUGGCCGGCCACAUUGGGACUGAGACACGGCCCAGACUCCUACGGGAGGCAGCAGUGGGGAAUAUUGGGCAAUGGGCGCAAGCCUGACCCAGCAACGCCGCGUGAAGGAAGAAGGCUUUCGGGUUGUAAACUUCUUUUGUCAGGGACGAAUAAAUGACGGUACCUGACGAAUAAGCCACGGCUAACUACGUG
rnacentral:rRNA from 1 species